rnacentral:rRNA from 1 species
CCUACGGGUGGCAGCAGUGAGGAAUAUUGGUCAAUGGACGAGAGUCUGAACCAGCCAAGUAGCGUGAAGGAUGACUGCCCUAUGGGUUGUAAACUUCUUUUAUAUGGGAAUAAAAUGUUCCACGUGUGGGAUUUUGUAUGUACCAUAUGAAUAAGGAUCGGCUAACUCCGUGCCAGCAGCCGCUGUAAUACGGAGGAUCCGAGCGUUAUCCGGAUUUAUUGGGUUUAAAGGGAGCGUAGGUGGAUUGUUAAGUCAGUUGUGAAAGUUUGCGGCUCAACCGUAAAAUUGCAGUUGAAACUGGCAGUCUUGAGGACAGUAGAGGUGGGCGGAAUUCGUGGUGUAGCGGUGAAAUGCUUAGAUAUCACGAAGAACUCCGAUUGCGAAGGCAGUUCACUGGACUGCAACUGACACUGAGGCUCGAAAGUGUGGGUAUCAAACAGGAUUAGAUACCCGAGUAGUC